rfam:Ictidomys tridecemlineatus contig052576, whole genome shotgun sequence.
GGGGUUGUAGCUCAGUGGUAGAGCACUUGCCUCGAACGCGUGAGGCCUUGGGUUCAAUCCUCAGCAUCACAA